AUUGAACGCUGGCGGCAGGCCUAACACAUGCAAGUCGAGCGAGCGGCGGACGUGUGAUUCAUUCCUGUGAAUUGCCCAGUCGAGGGUUAUAACCUUUUGACACUACUUCUACUCCCGCAUACGCUUGUCUUGCCCAGGUGGUAUUAGCUAGUUGGUUAGGUAAUGGCUCACCAAGCCGACGAUCCCUAGCGGGUCUGAGAGGAUGACCAGCCACACUGGAACGGAGACACGGUCCAGACUCCUACGGGAGGCAGCAGUGGGGAAUAUUGCACAAUGGGGGAAACCCUGAUGCAGCCAUGCCGCGUGUGUGAAGAAGGCCUUCGGGUUGUAAAGCACUUUCAGCGAGGAGGCGUUACUCGCAGAAGAAGCACCGGCUAACUCCGUGCCAGCAGCCGCGGUAAUUC
rnacentral:rRNA from 1 species